GUUACAGCAUCGAGUGUUUUAUGGCACUCUUUAAAAUCCAUAUCCACCUUGUGUGCAAUGUUUGUUGGGAAAGUCUUUUCUUUCCCUUCAUAAAUAUCAACCUAUAUCUUUAACAACAUUCGUCUGAUAACAUAUUAUGAAUAUACUUAAUUCAAAAUAUAACUUUCAACAACGGAUCUCUUGGCUCUCGCAUCGAUGAAGAACGCAGCGAAAUGCGAUACGUAAUGUGAAUUGCAGAAUUCAGUGAAUCAUCGAAUCUUUGAACGCAUAUUGCGCUCUUUGGUAUUCCGAAGAGCAUGCUUGUUUGAGUAUCAGUAAACACCUCAACCUCUCUUUUUUGAUAAAAAAAGGGAGGGUGGACUUGAGCUAUCCCAACGACCUUCACCGGUAGGCGGGCGGCUUGAAAUGCAGGUGCAGCUGGACUUUUAUCUGAGCUAAAAGCAUAUCUAUUUAGUCCUCGUCAAACAGGAUUAUUACUUUUGCUGCAGCUAACAUAAAGGAUAAUUGUCCUCUUUGCUGACUGAUGCAGGAUUUUACGACACUUUAUGUGUUGUUCAACUCGAUCUCAAAUCAAGUAAGACUACCCGCUGAACUUAAGCAUAUCAA
rnacentral:rRNA from 1 species